rnacentral:rRNA from 1 species
GACGAACGCUGGCGGCGUGCCUAAUACAUGCAAGUAGGACGCACAGUUUAUACCGUAGCUUGCUACACCAUAGACUGUGAGUUGCGAACGGGUGAGUAACGCGUAGGUAACCUGCCUGGUAGCGGGGGAUAACUAUUGGAAACGAUAGCUAAUACCGCAUAAUAUUAAUUAUUGCAUGAUAAUUAAUUGAAAGGUGCAAUUGCACCACUACCAGAUGGACCUGCGUUGUAUUAGCUAGUAGGGGAGGUAACGGCUCACCUAGGCGACGAUACAUAGCCGACCUGGGAGGGUGGUCGGCCACACUGGGACUGAGACACGGCCCAGACUCCUACGGGAGGCAGCAGUAGGGAAUCUUCGGCAAUGGACGAAAGUCUGACCGAGCAACGCCGCGGGAGUGAAGAAGGUUUUCGGAUCGUAAAGCUCUGUUGUAAGAGAAGAACGGGUGUGAGAGUGGAAAGUUCACACUGUGACGGUAUCUUACCAGAAAGGGACGGCUAACUACGUG